UGGUAAUGAUGUGUGAACUCACGAUGGUCUGCAGAGCCCCCUUGAUUGGAUGGGGGGGCUGCUGAAUACGGCAGCUUGUCAAUCACUGAACUACCAGG